GCCCGCAUGGAUCAGUUGGUAGAUCACCUUCCAUCGUUAUGUUAUCAUAAUGUAUGGAUAGAAGGAAACGGAGGUUCAAACCCUCCUGCGGGCA